AAAGAAAAGAAACGAAAAAAGAAAGAAAAGAAAUGAAAAGAAAAAGGAAUGCUGCUGAAGCUGAGAGAGGUGAAUAUGGUGAGGAUUGUAGCUGUCAGAGCCUACUGGAUCGAAGAAUACAGUCUUUUUCUGCAGAAUCUUCCUCAGGCAAAUGUGCAUUCUUAGCUGAUGUGGAUGUGAAGUUUUGUUCUUUUCAUCUUCUGCUUUGAGUUUUGAUUUCUGAUGCUGCCGAUCGUGAUAUUGGCAAGACGGCUCAAUCUGUUAGCUUACUCUCUUGUUUCCUUUUUCUCUUUGUUCUUGGACCAAUGUUAAUAUGAAAGAAGAACUGGAGAUUAACUUAUGCAAAACAAAAUAGUAUUUCUAUUGAUUUCCCACACUUUUCAUUUAUUGUUAUGAUCUC
rnacentral:sRNA from 1 species